UACAGAGGUCUCAAGCGUUGUUCGGAUUCAUUGGGCGUAAAGGGCGCGUAGGCGGCGGGGUAAGUCGGGUGUGAAAUCUCAGAGCUCAACUCUGAAACUGCACUCGAUACUGCUCUGCUUGAGGACUGGAGAGGAGACUGGAAUUCACGGUGUAGCAGUGAAAUGCGUAGAUAUCGGGAGGAACACCCGUAGCGAAGGCGGUACUCUGGGCCGAAACUGACGCUGAGGAGCGAAAGCGUGGGGAGCGAACAGG
rnacentral:rRNA from 1 species